AAGUCGUAACAAGGUUUCCGUAGGUGAACCUGCGGAAGGAUCAUUAUCGAGUUUGGAAGUGGGUUGCCUGCGCUGGCAUUGCAGGUGCGCGGCGACUCCGCUCUCAUCCAUUCAACCCCUGUGCACUUUGAAGCGAGGUCUUGUUGAGUUUGGCGUCCGCUAGGCUUUAUAGGAUUUAGCUUUAUUACAAACACAUGUAUUGUCCUGUAGAAUGUCUUGCCUCAUAGUGGGCUAAAAAUUUAAUACAACUUUCAACAACGGAUCUCUUGGUUCUG
rnacentral:misc_RNA from 1 species